rnacentral:rRNA from 1 species
CCUUGUAGUCAUAUGCUUGUCUCAAAGAUUAAGCCAUGCAUGUCUAAGUAUACGCAAAUUAUACUGUGAAACUGCGAAUGGCUCAUUAAAUCAGUUAUAGUUUAUUUGAUGUUUCUUGCUACAUGGAUAACUGUGGUAAUUCUAGAGCUAAUACAUGCGUAAAAAGCCCCGACUUCUGGAAGGGGUGUAUUUAUUAGAUAAAAACCAUCCUCCUCGGAGUUUGGUGAUUCAUAAUAACUUCUCGAAUCGCACGGCCUUGCGCUGGCGAUGCUUCAUUCAAAUAUCUGCCCUAUCAACUGUCGAUGGUAGGAUAGAGGCCUACCAUGGUUGCAACGGGUAACGGGGAAUAAGGGC